rnacentral:lncRNA from 1 species
CACAUCUGUGACCUACACCACAGCUCACAGCAAUGCCGGAUCGUUAAUCCACCAAGCAAGGGCAGGGAUCGAACCCAAAUCCUCAUGGAUACUAGUUAGGUUUGUUAAUCACUGAGCUAUGACGGGAACUCCUACACCAAAAAUUUUAAAUCACAUUUUCAAAAUCUUGCCACAAUCCCAGUCCACUUUUAUUCUUUUCCCAUUCUUAUCAAAGAGCAUAUAAUUGUUUCUUUGCCUGUAUUAAAUUUACCAAGAAAUAUAUAUGCUGAGCAAUAAUAAUAGUGUCAGGGAUUUCACGGUUUAAGAAGGAAAAUGGGCCAGAACAAGACGCUGAUUCUGUUUCUUCAUGUGCCUUCCGUCUAUGGUCAUGAAAAAAAAAAAAAAAAAAAAAAAAAAAAAAAAAAAAAAAAAAAAAAAAAAAAGGCACCUUUAGGUCCAAAUGGUAAAACACUGUUUCUAGAGCUGAUAUUCACAGUUUACAUUUUCCUGCUGUAAGUUUGCCUUUACAUACAUUUGAAUUAUCAUUUCCAUUUAAAAGCAAGUGAUUUAGCAUAUCUGUCUUAUUGAGGGUUUAUAUUUUAAAGAAAACUUUCUCAUUUGGCUCUCUUGCCUGCUUUUGAAAUUGAAUCCCCUGAAUGAGAAUAAGAAAAUGAGCUGCUUGAGAAAGCACUCCCCUCAAGCGCAGUGCUGAACUUCUCAGGGCACAGGCCCAGGGAGAGCCAUUCUGCCCUUGAAACCAGAGCAGGAACCUUACAAAUGCUUAUACCUGGGUCCCUUGUCUGCCUGGUUCUACGGUGGUUUACUAAAUCAUGCAAAUUUUAAAAGUCAGUAGGUUUUAGUAAUGAUCAUUUUUCUUCAUCUUUCAGCAAUGUAAAAGCAACCAAAGUGUGAGCUCUGAAACAAAGGAUUAUUAAAGAAAAAUGAGGCAGUUCAGGAAAAAGAGCACAGUUAAACAAAACAUUCUCUAAAACCACGCACAAUUUAAAAUGUAAAUGCUGGCACUUACAGAUCUUUAUCCACUCCACACAUACCCUACAUCUGAAAUAUGUUUUCCGAACAGUAUACCUUAAGUUGGCGUUAAAGCUCCUGUUCACUGGUUAUUAAGUAAUGCUGCAUCUGGGAAACUUAGACAUUCUGUACGCAUUUAUCUGUUUAUUUUUCAAGUGCAACAUUGCCAUCUACAGGAUAGGAAAUGACAAAAUCUGACUACUCCUUUGGAGACUUGUUUGUAAUCAAAACUAGAAAUCACUGAGGUCGAAAAUGUAUGUGUCCAAAAUCAGUCCUGCCAGGCAAUGCUAUUUUGCAAAUUAUCUCAUAAUCUCACAGCUCACCCCAAAAAAGAGAAUGUAUUAAGUCGACUUUGCAGCUUCUUUAUCUUUUGAAACUGCAUUAGAGGUUUGCUCAAAGGCGCUGCCAUGAUAAAUGUUAAGGAGCAAGAAAAGCUAAUAUCAGUAGGAGGUUUUUGGUUACAUUAAAGAUGAAGCUUUGCAUCUAACAGCAAAUGCUCUUGAAGUUAGCUGGAUAUAUGUUCCCUAAACUUCCUCACAGAAUUCAAAUAACAAAUACAUCCAACAGUCUGUCUUUUAUAGAUUUCAAAUCACAAACAGAGCAAACUGACUGACUCCUAGUACAAGCAGACAACAGACAGGGAGGGUCCUUCUGAGCCUAGUAAAGUAGUCAGACUUCUUAACACUCAGAGGACAUAACAAAGGCUGUUUUGCAAAUGAAGAAACAGGCAUAGAAGGUGGUGACCUUGAAAAGCUUAGUUCAUGGUCAGGCUGCAUUAUUUUCCAAAAAAUGAGACAAAGGGAGAAACAACCUAUCUCAUUUUCUCCAUUUUGACACCCAGACUAAAAUAUGAGGGAGGAAAAAUAUAGAACAUACAAAUGGUAUUGAGAAGCUAUUCUUGACUGCUUAGUGUGACCUCAGUUCAGUUGAAAUUGGAAUUACAAUAUUUAUUAGAAACCUUGAAUGUUUCAGGAAAAGCUAUUACAAUUUCCUAGUACAUAUCUAAUCUCCUUUCCUGGAGAUAUUUUAUAUUAGGACAGAUAAUUAGCUCGCUCUAAUUUCUUAAUUGUAGCUUAUCUAGAAACUAGGAAAUGGACAUGAUAGCAUUUGUAUUACCCUACCUCCUUGUGAUUGUUUAAAUCAACUCUCAGAAGGAAGAAUUGGAAUAACAUAAAGCCAUCUCCAUAAUAAAAAAAAUCAUAUAGAAGUGUAUAAAAUUAAACUUAUUUUAUUACCAUGAUACUAACAAGAAAACAGCUGAGGAAGAAACAGUGGUGCUUUGGUGCCAAAGAAAAAGUCUCAUUAAAAUGAAAAAAACAAUCUGAAAAACUCAGGGUUUCAUUUCAAAUGUUUACUUUACAGCUUUUCAUCACACAUCCAUCAUACCCUCUGGGUACAUGAACUAAGUUUAAAUCAAAAGAUUACAGAGAAGAGAAAAAAAAAAAGAAAACUAGCCACAAAAUUAAUUCCUUUUAUCUCUAGUCAAUCUACCGGCAGUCACCAAACAAGGAACAAAAUGUUUACAUGGACUAAACAAGUAGCAUUUGAUCCAAAGACAUUUAUACAAAAUAAGGGGCCAAUCUUUGGCUGAAGCCAAUACAUUGACCCCCUUGGAAAACCAGUUUAUAUAUUGUCCACAGCUAGCAAUAUAAAGAGGACACCCCGCUUCAUGGAAACUGCUUUCCUCAAUGUCCCCAACGACCCCAGCAUUGUCAAAUCCAAUAGAACAUUCUUAGACAUCAUCUUACUUGACUCCAGAGCAUUUGACAUGACAUUUUUCUUCCUUCCUGAAACACGGUCUCCAUUUGGUUUCCCAUAGCAUAUUAGUUUUUCCUUCCAAAAUCCUGGUCACUUCUCUCUGCCUCUUUUGAUCCAUUGUCUUCCUCCUUGUGAUCUCUGAAUCUGGUUUACCCUCAAGGAUCAGUCUUUGAGCCUCUCCUCUGCCCUAUCCCCACUAUAUAUUUAGGUUAUUCCACUCAUCGCAUGCUUUAAACACCAUCUUUAUGCUGGGUGGCUCCAAAGUGUAUAUGGCCAGCCCCAAAUUGUACUUCAACCCUAGAUAUCUCAGUCCAAAAGCUUUUCAACAUCUCCAUUUUAACAUCUAGUGGAGCACUCAUGUUUGAUAUGUUUAGAACAGAAUUCUUAUUCUCCUGCACUCCUAAUGUCUGCUUCCUUUUAAAUUAACUAACACAAAGAGAAUACUGAUAAAGGACAGAGAAGAUGGUUAAGGAAAUCAACACAGUAAAAGAACAUAUAAUCAGAAUUUCCUUAAAGAACAGUAAGGCUCAUAUGAAGGUUGAUAAAGAAGAGGGCUCACCAUCUACAUUUCUACCUACUUCACACAGCACUGACACAGCACCCACGCUUGAGAGAUGCUUAUAUAAUUUAGAGUUUAUUUAGGAAGUCUUUAUUCCACAAAUAUCCCAGUAUUCUACAUUCCACCCUCCUGAACACUAGCCCAGUAAGAAAGUCUCUCCUGAUAUUGUCAACAGUGUCCAGUGUUUUAAGAGAUGGAUUUCUUGCCCACUAUUGACUCUACUAAGAAAUGAAGGCAGCAACAAAUUGCAAAUUGAUUUAGAACCUCUGUGAGACUCAGGGAAGUAAGUGGCUGUCUGCCCAUGGCUGCUUAGGAAGAGUGUGUGUGAGUUAUCCAUAUGAUGCUUAAAAGGUUAAAAGAAGAUAAGAAACAUCAGUUGAUCUUAUUAUUUUGAAAUUUUUUUUUAAUCAACAAUUCACUUUGUCCAUCUCAACUGUUUAGUCUACGUUAAUCAUAAAACGUGUCUUGAAGAAGGUAAUUCCACAAAAUUUCUCUGUGAAGAAAGCGCGUUCUUUAAUGUCAAAUACCUGGGAACAUCUGUGAAUUUUAUGUCCCUCUAGGAGAAACAGAGCACAGGAGCCUGUUACAGUUUCUGAUACUUCCUUAAGUAAAAAGCCCAUUUAGUUUUGUCCUGCCUAAAGUUUUUUUGUUUGUUUGUUUGUUUUUUUGACCACAGUCACCUCUUUGAGUAACACCUACUAACAUUCAAAAAAACUGCUGUCUCUUGAAACAUACCAAGGGUGCUCCAACUAUGAAGCACUAAUUAGGGAAUCUUAAAAUUAUAUGGUAAGUUGGUGGAAAUUUCAGAUUCCCUCCCGAUUAAAUUUGCAAAUAUUUUCUUAAAACCUACUAAGUAAAGUCUUUGUUCCAUAACCAGAUAUUUGAAAAUAUGCAGAAAUAGCCUCUGACUCUCCUUUAGUUUUAAAAAUCUUUAAGAAACCUAUAAUACACCAUAAUAUAUUUUGAGAGUACACGUCAUAAACAUUUCUUACUGUGUAAGCAUUCAAAGAACUUCACUUGUAGAUAGCAGACAAAAAGUGAAUUAGCUACAUCUUCCCCAUAUAAACAUGUACCAUAUAAGCAUGUAGCAUAUAAACAUGUAGCAUAUGAACAUCUUCCCCAUAUACCUUAAAGUUAUCAAAAUGCAAUCCUGGUAUUAAGAGAAAGACUACCUUAAAAGUUAUUCUCUUUGAGAUAUAUUUAGAGAAAAGAAAAUUAGAAAAAUCAAUAUUUGUAGAAAAAUAGAGAUGUCAUUGGCUGAUAAUUCCACUGAAAUAAUCAGAUCGAAAGCCUGACCUUUUAGUUAAGAAAAACAAUGUGCUGAGUUUAAUUCAAAAAAGAUGGAGUAGGAAAUCGUGGAGAUAAAUGGCUAAAGAGAAAGCUUUAGGAAAGUCACAUCUAAUUAUUCCAAGGGAACUGCUCUCAUGAAUGCCAAGACACUAGAAUAUUUUUGUUUCUUUGUUUUUUAAAACAAUGAGAAAUUCAAUACAUCUUACAUAUUUUUGGUAUUUGCUGCCUUAUAAAUACAUUCCUAUCUAUCUCCAACUCUUCCUCUAUAAAACAAGAAAUGAAACAGUGAAAAUUCAGGAAAGGACAUUUUUCAAAAAAGAACACACACGUCUUGAAGACUAGUUCAGGACACACUGAGCUAUAUUUGAUCUAUACAUAUAGGUGUGAUGGUGGAGGAGGAAUUUCAAGGUGCUAGGGUAGCAUGUAUUAUCUUCAUUAUUUCAUUUAUUCAUUUCUUCUUUUUUUCAAUAAAAUUGUUUUGAGAGAUAGUCAUCAGUAUACUGCUAGGUGCUUGGGGGUAAAAUUUAUCAAAACUUUAGCAAGGGAGAGAGAGAGCUCACUAAAGUACAAGUUAGAAAGGAAUGCAUACAAUUAACAGGGAAAAUACAGCCAGACAACUGCUCCAUAAGCAAUUGAUGCACACAGAGAUUUUAAUAGAGCUGAUCUGUGACAUCUCUAAAGGACUCUUCCUCCUCUUUCCUUCUGUGAUCAUUCCCAGCUGGCUGAGGCUAGACCCAGGCAAUAAUGUGACCCUGCAAAAAAACAGCCUCUGCCUCUCUUUUGUCUCCUAAAUUUCAUGAGCACAAUUUAUUGAUUGAAUCUAAAUCAUACCCGGAAGCUUAAUAGGAAGGGAACUUAUGAUAUGUAGCGUUUAGCUUACCAGCCCCUGCAGUAAAGAGAACACAGAACACCAUGGGAAUGAAUGGAUACUGAGUCCUAAUAGACAACUUCAAAAUUGAAGUCCUUCAAAAUUAAUUAGGAAAAGACCCAUUGAGGACAAUUUAAAAAAAAAAAAAAACACUCAGAAGGCAGAAACCAUGGAGAAAACCAAAAAUCAGUGGUUACAGAGAGCAGGGUAGGGAGAAAUAACAGGCAGAGUAUGGAGGAGUUUUAGGACAAUGAAAAUACUCUGUAUGGUGUUAUAAAGAAGGGUAUAUGUAUUUAUACUUUUGUCCAAACCCUAAGAUAAAUAAUGGACUUUGAAUGAUUUCAAUCUGUCAAUGCAUGUUCAUCCUUGGUUUAAAAAAAGUACCAUUUUGAGGAGUGAUGUUGAUAAUGGAGGAGGCUGUUCAUAUGUGGGGGCAGUAGGUAUGUGGCAAGGAAGUCUCUGAGCCUUUCUCUCAAUGUUUUUGUAAGCCUAAAACUUCUGUAAAAAUAAAGUCUUUUUAAAAAGACAGAAGAAAAUGAAAACUACAAAAUUAAAAAAAAAAA